GCACUCCCCGGGCGCCGCGCUGCCCGGCCCGGGCCUGGCCCUUCCUUCCCCGCGGGACUGCGUCCCUCCGGCCCUCCCGCUGCUGCCGGGGGACCCAGGCACCGCCUCCUGCAGCACCCGGGCCUGCGGGGCAGGAGGGUACUUUCCGUCCGUGCCCUGACCUACUGCUCUCCUCUGGGCAGAGUGGAAAAGAGCUGAUUUGCAGCUUAAAUACUGGACACACCGUUAGAUGCCGAUGUCCGCGUUAAAUUAUAAACGCGCAGGUGCUGCUUGGGCGCUGUGGAAUGUGCGCGAGGGAAGAGACAGUGUGCUGUCUCCGGGGGGCAGCGCGGGGGGAUGGAGGGACACCCGGAGCGCAUGAGAGGCGACAGUAGCAGAGAGCAGAGACACGCGGCGGCUGUCGGGAACCGCUGCCUGAAGCUGUUACACAGCAAAGAGCAUCAAUUGAUAUGGACAUUCAAGAGGAACUGUGAAGCCUCAGGGCACCUCAGGCUGUCAGCUUUGAUGCAAAUCUGACCACGG